rnacentral:rRNA from 1 species
AAGGCGAUGAUGCAUAGCCCGAGUUGAGAGACUGAUCGGCCACAUUGGGACUGAGACACGGCCCAAACUCCUACGGGAGGCAGCAGUAGGGAAUCUUCCACAAUGGACGCAAGUCUGAUGGAGCAACGCCGCGUGAGUAGAAGUAAGGUUUUCGGAUCGUAAAGCUCUGUUUGUUGGUGAAGAAGGAUAGAGGUAGUAACUGGUCCUUUAUUUGACGGUAAUCAACCAGAAAGUCACGGGCUAACUACGUGCCAGCAGCCGCGGUAAAU